rnacentral:rRNA from 1 species
GAUGAACGCUGGUGGCGUGCCUAACACGUGCAAGUCGAGCGAUUCUCUUCGGAGAAGAGCGGCGGACGGGUGAGUAACGCGUGGGUAACCUGCCCUGUACACACGGAUAACAUACCGAAAGGUAUGCUAAUACGAGAUAACAUGCUUUUAUCGCAUGGUAGAAGUAUCAAAGCUUUUGCGGUACAGGAUGGACCCGCGUCUGAUUAGCUAGUUGGUGAGGUAACGGCUCACCAAGGCGACGAUCAGUAGCCGACCUGAGAGGGUGAUCGGCCACAUUGGAACUGAGACACGGUCCAAACUCCUACGGGAGGCAGCAGUGGGGAAUAUUGCACAAUGGGCGAAAGCCUGAUGCAGCAACGCCGCGUGAGCGAUGAAGGCCUUCGGGUCGUAAAGCUCUGUCCUCAAGGAAGAUAAUGACGGUACUUGAGAAGGAAGCCCCGGCUAACUACGUG